AUAAACGCUGGCGGCGCACAUAAGACAUGCAAGUUGAACGGACUUAAUCGAAAUAUUUAUAUUUUGAAGCGGUUAGUGGCGGACUGGUGAGUAACGCGUAAGGAACCUGCCUAUUAGAGGGGAAUAACAGUGAGAAAUCAUUGCUAAUACCGCAUAUGCCAUAGAUAUCACAUGAUAACAGUGGGAAAGGAGCAAUCCGCUAAUAGAUGGCCUUGCGUCUGAUUAGAUAGUUGGUGGGGUAACGGCCUACCAAGUCGACGAUCAGUAGCCGGACUGAGAGGUUGAGCGGCCACGUUGGGACUGAGGUACGGCCCAGACUCCUACGGGAGGGAGCAGUCGGGUAUAUUGCGCAAUGGAGGAAACUCUGACGCAGUGACGCCGCGUAUAGGAAGAAGGUUUUCGGAUUGUAAACUAUUGUCGUUAGGGAAGAGAAAGGGCAGUACCUAAGGAGGAAGCUCCGGCUAACUACGUG
rnacentral:rRNA from 1 species